CCACCCUAACACCCACUGUGUCUUCCAGGUGGCUUCGUACCCAGGUGUGCCUGUUUGAAACCUGGUGCUGCUGCUGGGUGUGCAGUCCUUUCCCAGACACUUGGAGUCUUGCUGAUUGGAAUCAGUCCUGCUCUGCAUGGGUCCAGGGGUCCCCAACUACAGUCCACAGUCCUUGCCAGAAAGCUGGCAUGACUGGUUGUCUCGUACCAUGCUGCUAAGCAGUGGGACCCUUAAAGGAGGAGGCUUCAUCUCAAAUCAGGACCCAUGUUCAGGAGGCCCAGAUCUCAAGUUUGUCGGCCUUGACCCUCUGAUUCGUAUGUUCGUUCACUCACGGGACAGCUAAUCAUCUCCACCAGGAUUUGCCCGAUGGCAAGCACCAUCCAUUCACAGGAAGUGAUAGCAGAGACAGACAAGCUUGCUCAGAUUUGCUGAUCAGGUGGAGUCGGCAGGAGACCAGAGAGAUCAAGAGAAUGGACAGUGAAGUGAGCUCACCAUCCCUGGGCUUGCCUCACUUCUAACAGCCUCGGGCAAAUUCCUAAGUCACUUUGUGCCUCUGUCUUACCAUCUAUAAAGUGGGAGCAAUUACCAUAUUUCUGUUGUAGAGUUAAACUUAAAAGGAAAUGAGAUAGAUGAUUCCUAUAAAAUGUUUCAUGAAUCAUGUCAUUUGCCAGGAAAUGGGUGGAACUGGAGACUAUCAUGCUAAGUGAAAUAAGCCAAUCCCCAAAACCCAAAGGCCAAAGGUUCUCUCUGAUAUGUGGAUGCUGACUCACAAUAGGUGGGCAGGGAAGUGGAGGUUCAUUCGAUUGGAGGGGACGGUGGGAAUGGGAAAGACAGUAGAAUAAAUUGGACCUAACUUUCCUAUGUUCCUGAAUGAAUGCAUGACCAUCGUAACUCCACGUGUACAACUACAAGAAUCGAGAAGUUAUACUCCAUGUAGGUAUGAUAUGUCAAAAUACAUUCUACAGCCAGGCGCAGUGGCACACGCCUGUAAUCCCAGUGACUUAGGAGGCUGAGGCAGGAGGUUCAUGGGUUCAAAGCCAACCUCAGCAAAAGUAAGGCACUAAGCAACUCAGUGAGGCCCUAAGUCAUAUACAAAACAUAGGGCUGGGGCUGUGACUCAGUGAUCGAGUGCCCCUGAGUUCGAUCCCUAGUACCAGAAAACAAAAACAACAACAAAGAAUAUAUUCUACUGUCAUGUAUAACUAAAAAG
rnacentral:lncRNA from 1 species